rnacentral:rRNA from 1 species
CCUACGGGAGGCAGCAGUAGGGAAUCUUUCACAAUGGGCGAAAGCCUGAUGGAGCAACGCCGCGUGCAGGAUGAAGGCCUUCGGGUUGUAAACUGCUUUUAUAAGCGAGAAAUAUGAUGGUAACUUAUGAAUAAGGAUCGGCUAACUACGUGCCAGCAGCCGCGGUCAUACGUAGGAUCCGAGCAUUAUCCGGAGUGACUGGGUGUAAAGAGUUGCGUAGGUGGCAUAAUAAGUAGCUAGUGAAAUCUGGUGGCUCAACCAUUCAGACUAUUAGCUAAACUGUUAAGCUCGAGACCGUUAGGAGUAACUGGAAUGUCUAGUGUAGGAGUGAAAUCCGUAGAUAUUAGAAGGAACACCAAUAGCGUAGGCAGGUUGCUGGGACGGUUCUGACACUAAGGCACGAAAGCGUAGGGAGCAAACGGGAUUAGAUACCCCAGUAGUC